GCGCUCACUUCGGCAGCACAUAUACUAAAAUUGGAACGAUACAGAGAAGAUUAGCACGGCCCCUGCGCAAGGAUGACAGGCAAAUUUGUGAAGAGCUCCAUAUUAAA
rnacentral:snRNA from 1 species